rnacentral:rRNA from 1 species
UACGGAGGGUGCAAGCGUUAUCCGGAUUUACUGGGUUUAAAGGGUGCGUAGGUGGGUUGGUAAGUCAGUGGUGAAAUACUUUCGCUUAACGAAGGAACUGCCAUUGAUACUACCAGUCUUGAAUACAGUGGAGGUAGGCGGAAUGCGUCAUGUAGCGGCGAAAUGCUUAGAUAUGACGCAGAACACCAAUUGCGAAGGCAGCUUGCUACACUGUUAUUGACACUGAGGCACGAAAGCGUGGGGAUCAAACAGG